UACGGAGGGUGCAAGCGUUACUCGGAAUCACUGGGCGUAAAGGGCGCGUAGGCGGCCUAGCAAGUCUGGUGUGAAAGCCCAGGGCUCAACCCUGGAAGGGCACUGGAAACUGUUAGGCUUGAGUUCCGGAGAGGAGGGGGGAAUUCCCGGUGUAGCGGUGAAAUGCGUAGAUAUCGGGAGGAAUACCGGUGGCGAAGGCGCCCCUCGGGACGGAAAAUGACGCUGAGGCGCGAAAGCGUGGGGAGCAAACCGG
rnacentral:rRNA from 1 species